rnacentral:lncRNA from 1 species
UGAAAGAGGGGGACGGUGGGGGGGGGCGGCUACCUGUGAACAAACAUUGGCAGCGGAGGGAAAAUAAGUGUUCCUGGACUUUGGACUAGUUUACAGCCAGAUAGUCUAAAAGCAGUGAAACACUGCUCUCUGUAGUCCCUGAAAACAAAUGAGACCCAUAACACACUUGCCUAAGCUUUUAAAACAGAAAUUGGUGCAGCACUAGGAAAGCUGUUCACCUCACUCCAUCUCAAUAUAGUUUGCUUUUCUUCCUCUUCUGAGACAGCUUUCGUAUUGCUGAGCACAGUCUCACACACUUUCCUGUUAGAGAAUUUGGUUUGCUCUUCUCAUCUGUUUAACCCUUCCCGCGUUCCUAUGCGAAAGCCUAUGGAUGUAUUGAUGAACACACACGUACACACACACACUUGACUAUGAAAAAUUCCGUUCGCGUUCGCUUUCCUAAUCUGUUCAACUAUUCAUUCAUGAAGCGCGUCGUGAGGCCAUUACUGGGGAAGGAAUGACAGUGCCCUGGCCAGCAACAUACCAGGGACCAGGACUGAGCAAGGACCGCAUUUGAGAAGCCGAAAUGGCAAAAGCAUUUAAAAUUUGAGAACGCCUCCAAAGGAAAACAGCAAGUCUAGGGAUUUGUGCUUCAUUUAUAACCAAAGUUGGAAAAGUGAGACUUAAGCCCAGAAAGACCAAGGGCAGGUAGGAGGGACAAAGCUUUGAAUAACUGCUUGCUGAUACCACCGCAUGUGGCAAACAGGACCGAGACCAUUACACAUCCGAGGCAGGUGUGAGUUGUUUCAGCACCCUACAGAUCCUAAGCCACUAACUGGAGUUCUUAAAAUGUUCCGCAUGUUCUCAUGUGCCAAACCCAUCUGA